UCGCGUUUCUUUUUUCAUUGGAAAGGGAAAGAGGGUUGUGCGAAACUGCGACUCUUUGAGCUGAAACUCAUUCGCUCCUCUGCCUCCACCUCUGUGCCUCCUCCUUAGCUGUAGGGAUGAAACAUCCACCACAUCUGCAGAUUCUUGCAUUCUUUUGGGCAGAAGAGCGCUCAGAUUCUCGCUUAUUGCUUUGGGAACAGGAGCGGAAUCCAGAAGCAUAGAGCCGUGAGGUUUCCCAGAGCAAGAGUAAAUGAAUGAGGCAGAAUCGAGCUAGGAGGCAGUGUAGCUGAGUUCUUGCCAUGAUAUUCUUUGUCGUGCUUAGGUCUGGGAAGGUUAUUCGUUGAAGGCGUUGUGUUUUCUGCUGAGAUCUGGAAGCUGGAGAAACCCAAGUAUCAUACAAAGCUUGAAAGUGUAUGGUAGCAGGGGAAGAGCCAAGGGGAGGAGGAGAAGCAAGAAGAAGAAGGAAAAGAGAGUCGUCAUUGCUUCCUUCUUCUUUCCCAUAAUUCACAAGGAAUUCUCGAGGGAUUCCAGUAUUUUGUUGGUGGGAUGCAGGAGGAGGGAGAUAGAGAAGCAUUUAUAGUGCAUAACUUGGUCGAUUGUUGGCUCUUGGAAGAUCCACAAAGAGGCAAAGGCUGAUUUGGGGAGGGUCGUUUUGGGAUCUAUUUACGAUCUUAAACGUUAGGGUCGACCAUGGUCCCAGUUUGGAAGAGAGACUAAAAGAAACGAGAAGAGGAGGCAAAAAUGAAACAUCAUUAGCAUCUCUUUGGUUAUGAGAUAAUAGAAAAAUGUGGUUUCAUUUCAAGAUCAAUGAAAGCAGGGAGACAUCUCUUUCUAGAAAUUGUUUGGUGGCAUCUUAAUUGCGCAUGCGUGUAUAUUAGUGGAUGUUAAUGACAGUUGGGGCAGUAAAAGCUUUCAGUAGUACGUAUC